GACGAACCGUACGAACGUUAUUCGGAAUCACUGGGCUUAAAGGGUGCGUAGGCUGCGCAGCAAGUUGGGUGUGAAAUCCCUCGGCUUAACCGAGGAACUGCGCCCAAAACUGCUGUGCUCGAGGGAGAUAGAGGUGAGCGGAACUUAGGGUGGAGCGGUGAAAUGCGUUGAUAUCCUAAGGAACACCGGUGGCGAAAGCGGCUCACUGGAUCUCUUCUGACGCUGAGGCACGAA
rnacentral:rRNA from 1 species